rnacentral:rRNA from 1 species
GAUGAACGCUGGCGGCGUGCUUAACACAUGCAAGUCGAACGGAAAGGCUCCUGCUUGCAGGGGUGCUCGAGUGGCGAACGGGUGAGUAACGCGUGGGUGGUCUGCCCUGCACUUCGGGAUAAGCCUGGGAAACUGGGUCUAAUAACGGAUAGAUCGAUGGUUUGGAUGCCAUUUUGGAAAGUUUUUCGGUGUGGGAUGAGCUUGCGGCCUAUCAGCUUGUUGGUGGGGUAAUGGCCUACCAAGGCGUCGACGGGUAGCCGGCCUGAGAGGGUGUACGGCCACAUUGGGACUGAGAUACGGCCCAGACUCCUACGGGAGGCAGCAGUGGGGAAUAUUGCACAAUGGGCGCAAGCCUGAUGCAGCGACGCCGCGUGGGGGAUGACGGCCUUCGGGUUGUAAACUCCUUUCGCUAGGGACGAAGCGCAAGUGACGGUACCUGGAGAAGAAGCACCGGCUAACUACGUG